ACGCUAAUACCGCAUACGUCCUACGGGAGAAAGCAGGGGACCUUCGGGCCUUGCGCUAUCAGAUGAGCCUAGGUCGGAUUAGCUAGUUGGUGGGGUAAUGGCUCACCAAGGCGACGAUCCGUAACUGGUCUGAGAGGAUGAUCAGUCACACUGGAACUGAGACACGGUCCAGACUCCUACGGGAGGCAGCAGUGGGGAAUAUUGGACAAUGGGCGAAAGCCUGAUCCAGCCAUGCCGCGUGUGUGAAGAAGGUCUUCGGAUUGUAAAGCACUUUAAGUUGGGAGGAAGGGCAUUAACCUAAUACGUUAGUGUUUUGACGUUACCGACAGAAUAAGCACCGGCUAACUCUGUGCCAGCAGCCGCGGUAAUACAGAGGGUGCAAGCGUUAAUCGGAAUUACUGGGCGUAAAGCGCGCGUAGGUGGUUUGUUAAGUUGGAUGUGAAAGCCCCGGGCUCAACCUGGGAACUGCAUCCAAAACUGGCAAGCUAGAGUACAGUAGAGGGUGGUGGGAAUUUCCUGUGUAGCGGUGGAAAUGCGUAGAU
rnacentral:rRNA from 1 species